rnacentral:tRNA from 1 species
GAGGGUAUGGCUCAGUGGUAGAGUGUGCACUGAGUACACACAAGGUCCUGGGUUCAAUCCCCAGUACCUCCA